rnacentral:rRNA from 1 species
UGGGGAAUAUUGCACAAUGGGCGCAAGCCUGAUGCAGCCAUGCCGCGUGUAUGAAGAAGGCCUUCGGGUUGUAAAGUACUUUCAGCGAGGAGGAAGGCGUUGUGGUUAAUAACCGCAACGAUUGACGUUACUCGCAGAAGAAGCACCGGCUAACUCCGUGCCAGCAGCCGCGGUAAUACGGAGGGUGCAAGCGUUAAUCGGAAUUACUGGGCGUAAAGCGCACGCAGGCGGUCUGUCAAGUCGGAUGUGAAAUCCCCGGGCUCAACCUGGGAACUGCAUCCGAAACUGGCAGGCUAGAGUCUUGUAGAGGGGGGUAGAAUUCCAGGUGUAGCGGUGAAAUGCGUAGAGAUCUGGAGGAAUACCGGUGGCGAAGGCGGCCCCCUGGACAAAGACUGACGCACAGGUGCGAAAGCGUGGGGAGCAAACA